GAAAUGCGAUAAGUAGUGUGAAUUGCAGAAUUCAGUGAAUCAUCGAAUCUUUGAACGCACAUUGCGCCCCUUGGUAUUCCAUGGGGCAUGCCUGUUCGAGCGUCAUUUGUACCCUCAAGCUCUGCUUGGUGUUGGGUGUUUGUCCCCGUCUCCGCGCGUGGACUCGCCCCAAAGUGAUUGGCAGCCGGCGUACUGGUCCCGGAGCGCAGCACAUGUCGCGCAAACGAGUGCCUUGGUACGGCGGCGUCCAUAAGCCCCUCUCUCACGCUCUUGACCUCGGAUCAGGUAGGGAUACCCGCUGAACUUGAGC
rnacentral:misc_RNA from 1 species